AUUGAACGCUGGCGGCAGGCCUAACACAUGCAGGUCGAACGGUAACAGGAAGAAGCUUGCUUCUUUGCUGACGAGUGGCGGACGGGUGAGUAAUGUCUGUGAAACUGCCUGAUGGAGGGGGAUAACUACUGGAAACGGUAGCUAAUACCGCAUAACGUCGCAAGACCAAAGAGGGGGACCUUCGGGCCUCUUGCCAUCGGAUGUGCCCAGAUGGGAUUAGCUUGUAGGUGGGGUAACGGCUCACCUAGGCGACGAUCCCUAGCUGCUCUGAGAGGAUGACAGGCCACACUGGAACUGAGACACGGUCCAGACUCCUACGGGAGGCAGCAGUGGGGAAUAUUGCACAAUGGGCGCAAGCCUGAUGCAGCCAUGCCGCGUGUAUGAAGAAGGCCUUCGGGUUGUAAAGUACUUUCAGCGGGGAGGAAGGGAGUAAAGUUAAUACCUUUGCUCAUUGACGUUACCCGCAGAAGAAGCACCGGCUAACUCCGUG
rnacentral:rRNA from 1 species